rnacentral:lncRNA from 1 species
AGAAAGGGACAGUUGUUUACCAAUCAGAGCCAAUAAUGGGGUCUUCAGCAGAAGAGAAACAGAGCAGCAGGCUAUGCCAUGAGGAUGGUGAUGUAGAGCCCUGCUCCUACGCCAUGCAAUUGGUGACCUCCUCUGUGUUGCCCAUGGUUAUGCAGACCUCCAUUGAGCUAGGCCUUUUUGAUAUCAUUGCCAAAUUGGGUCAGGCCUCUGCCUCAGAAAUAGCUUCCCGGCUGCCUACAAAGAACCCAGAGGCACCCAUCAUGCUGGAUCGUAUGCUCUACCUUCUUACCACUCACUCUGUUCUCAGUUGCUCUGCCAUUGAUGGUGAUGAGAGGGUGUACGCACUCACACCUGUCUCCAAAUACUUUGCCAGUAAUCAAGAUGGAGUUUCCUUCGGCCCACUACUGGCUUUGAUACAGGACAAGGUCUUCAUGGAUAGCUGGUCAGUUUGCUUCUUUUCCCUCUCCCUCCCCCUGCUGAGCAUACUUUUAACCCCCACAAUUCUCAUAAUCACAACCCAUAAACCCAAUUUCCAUGGAUUUAUCUGUAAACCCGUUUGGUAUGUUGUGAUUACUGAAAAUAAAUCCUGGUCUCCAAACCAAAAAGUUCUAAUUUUGUUGAGUUUUUUCAUAUGAACCAAACAAGUGACGAUCACGUUUAAACUUUUUGCAUUUCAAACCUAAAAAGACCAGGCAUAGCAAUUUGAAAUCAACCAUUUAACUUACUCUGUUUAGACUCAUGGUGAAUUCCAAACCUAAAAGGUGGUUCCAUUUAAUGAUACAGACCAAGACAAAGGGGAAAUAUGAAGAGACCAUGUUUUCACCUUCAGCACCUAGAAGUGAUUCUUUUUAUGCCUUAUCUCAUCAUGUACUUUUUCAAAUUAGAUGUACGAAAAGAAUAAGCUGUUAGGUGUGAAUUGUGGGUUUGGGAUCGUGUUGAAGUACUAAUAUUAGUAGUGAAGAGAUGUUAGUAAAAUGAUGAUCUGAUAGAAGAACUAUGAUUUUAUGCACAUUUUCUAGAUCUCUUUGUUCAUUGCUGUGUCUUUUCCAGUUAGAUAACUUCAGCUUUCCAUUCACUUCAGGUCCCAACUGAAAAAUGCGAUUAUUGAAGGAGGAAUACCAUUUAACAGGGUCCAUGGAUCUCAUGCAUUUGAGUACCCUGGCAAGGACCCCAGAUUCAAUCAGGUUUUCAACACGGCAAUGUUCAACCACACAACGAUAAUUGUUAAUAAGAUCCUUGAGUCCUACAAGGGUUUUGAGCACCUUACACGGGUGGUCGAUGUUGGUGGCGGUCUGGGAACCACCCUUAGCAUAAUCACAUCCAAAUACCCCCAUAUUGAGGCUAUUAAUUUUGACUUGCCUCAUGUUAUAGAACAUGCUGUGGCGUUUCCUGGUAUAACUUUUUACUUCCUGUUUCCAAAUAAUUUUAUUGAAGUGUUAGUUUAGUUUGGGCUCAAUUUUGUUGCAGGUGUGGAACACAUUGGAGGGGAUAUGUUUGAAAGUGUUCCCAAAGGAGAUGCCAUUUUUAUGAAGGUGAGUUUGAGUCUUUCCAGCAUCCUAACCAGCAUAUUGGAUGCUGUAUUGAUAGUUAAAAAAACAUGCAUGUAGUGGAUACUUCAUGAUUGGAGUGAUGAUCACUGCUUAAAGUUGUUGAAGAACUGCUACAAAGCUCUACCAGAGCAUGGGAAGGUGAUCAUUGUGGAGGGGGUUCUUCCAGAAAUACCGGAAAAGGGAUCUACUGUGAAAGCUAUCUGCCAAACAGAUUUGAUAAUGUUGACUCAAAACCCUGGAGGAAAGGAGAGGACAAGGAAGGAGUUCCUGGACUUGGCAAUUGGAGCUGGAUUUGCUGGCAUCAGAUAUGAAUGCUAUGUCUCUUGUUAUUGGGUUAUGGAAAUCUUCAUGUAAACAACAUAUGGUUAAUUGUCAUGGUACUGUUUGCAAUUGUUUAUGAAACAACUUUGCAAAAGGGAAUAACUCUGUAAUGGUUCUGUUUUAUGCAAUUAGUGUUUGGAGUAUGAUCAACCAAAGUAACUUUAAUCAAUAAUGCAGAUGCUUCAGUUCGUGUUCAUUUCUUUUCCUUUAUUUCUUUUGUCUUCGUUUACUUCUUGUUUUGAUUCCACUGUUGUUGCAACCCCUACACUGAUCACAACCACCACCACCACCACCACUUUAAACAUUUCCAUGGCUGCUGCCAUAGCCAAUGGUUAACAUGUUUAGAUUUAUGAUUGUAGUCAUUGCAUUACAUUCCACAAACAGUACAAUGGUGAUCAGGUUGAACCGGUCUGACUGAAGCAAAAUUAUUGGGCUCUGUUUUUGGUAUCAAUAGCUUUAAAGGAGUUUUCAGAAUUUAUGCAAAGUGGGUUAUGGCUUUCCUUGGUUUCUGACAUAGAUCUCAUAUCAAUGAUAGGAAAACUUUCAAUCAUAACCAUUCCACCAUGAAGAUUCCACAUGCUUUUAGAGUCGAGCAGAAAACUCCAAAGUCAUUAUAGUGCAGCUUAGGUUCAUUUAUGAUAAUGGCCCAAUAAGAUUAGAGUGUGCCUUAAGAGGACAAUGAAAAGGAGAACAACGAGGACAACCCCAAGUUGCAAAUAAAGAAAAUGUUGUGCAUUCUUCAUCCUUUCUUUUCCCAAGGAAAGACCGUCUUCAGAAACCCAUAUACUUAAUUUACAUUUUUUAUGCAGGUGUUGCUUUCUUUUCUUAGGGAAUUGAAGUGAUCAUGAAAACAGGGGUUAUUGGCCAAGCAGUUACCUAGUCCUUUGAGGUCUUACAAUCCUGAGUGUUUCCAUCCUUCCCUUUUGGUAUGGCCUCUGUGGGAAAUUUAUUUCUAAUGCUCACUAUUGCUGAAUUUCUACACCGGGGUCUUUCAUGGGAUCUAUUUUGGAAGUUUUCUGGCUAACUUGCUAUCAUUCCUUAUCCAUUUUGUCCUUUUGCUUUCAUUUGGGCUACACAAUAAGACAUUGUCUGUCGAGUUUUUUAUUAUCUUCCACGGUAAGCAAUGGUAGCUGGAUUUGCUGGCAUCAGAUUUGAGUGCCUUGUGUAUAAUUACUGGAUCAUGGAAUUCUUCAAGUAAACAGCAUACAUAGUUUAAUCAGUGAAAAAUUGUGUUUGGAAGGUGAGAAACCAAAAUAAUUAAAUUUAAUCAAUGAACAUCUGCUGGUAUGUGAAUCAUGUGAUCCAUGUGAUCCAUGUCUUCAUUUGACUCCAUUGUUAUUAUAAACUUUUAGUAAGUUUGGUAGUGAUUCUAGAAAACGUUUUUAUUAUUAUUAACACUUGAAUGAUAGAAAAUUUUAAGUGUUAAAAAUGUUAGAAACGCUUUCUAAAAUCAUUGUCAAACGAGUUCUUCAUUUAUCGUCACCACUUUCAUCAAAUUACUUCUGACAUUUUAGCAAAAUGUAUUACAUCUUCAUUACGCAAUAUUAUUUUACAACCAACAAACAAGUUGGAUCAUGAAUGUCAAUUUCAACAUGAUUAACUAAAUAUAGGUUAUACAAGUUGAACGGUCAAACCCGAACAUGAUCUACCAUUGUGACCCCGAUACGAUUACACCUAACUCAAACCUGCUAAAAUUUGUAUUUUUUUUUUUUAAUUAUAUUGUGAUACGUGUCAAAAUUAUCACCAUUAUUCCCACACUUACUACACAGCUGACCUCAUGUAAAUGGGCCAGUCCAGGCUGGGCUCAGACCCUCUUGGUUGGGCUCCAGGCUAGGCUUAGGGCUCCCCUACCAAACCCCAAAUGGGCCUUUGGAUAGUUCUUGGGCUGAGUUGGAUGUUAAACUUGAGUCCAUGCCUGUCCCAGGCCCAAAAGUAGUUCAAUAGUUAUCAUGCCAACAUUUUCAGCUUUUGGAAGUUUCAAAUCUCAUCUCUUGCAUAACAUUUUUGGAUAAUGCUUAUCAUAUAUACAUAUUAGGUUUUAAUACUCAGCCCAACUAGGAUUUGCCCAUGGAAUGGGCUCGAGCUUUAAAGAUCAGCCCAAACCCGACCCUAAAGGGAUUGGAUUGGUCUCUAAUCAGGCCUUGACCCGAAAUAUUUGAACAGACUUAUAUGAAGGUGUAUAUAAGACUACGUGGCACAUGUAGAAGGUUCUAUAUAAAUCCCUAAUAGGGUACUCAAAAUUUAUUAUAAAAAAUAUAAAAGAAAAUAGAAUAUUAUUAAAAUUAGUUAGAAAAUUAUGUAUUUUUAAAUUAUUUAAUUUUUAUAUUGAAGAAUUAAAAUAAGUAAAAUAAGUUUAAAGUAACAUAUAAAAAUAAUUUAUUAACUUUAAUUCUAUUUUUUAUUUUCCUCUUACUUUUUCUUUUCUAUUUUCUCUCAAAUUUUUUGGGAACCAAAUAUAGUCUAGAAAAUUUUACGUAAAUGUGUUUAACAAUUCCUUAAAAAAUAAGUUUUAUAUAUAAAAUACAUUUAUAAAAUUGAUAUUUGACAAAAUUUUAAAUCAAUGAAGUACUUAGAUGUUAGGACUACUUCAAGGUCCAAUAAUUUCGCUUUUGAUUGUAAGUAUAAGUCACUUAAAGGAUGACAUUUCAAUAUCAUAAAAGACUUUAAAUUAUCCUUUUUGAUAGUGGUUGAUUUUUAGAUGAUAGAAUGAAAGUUUUUUCUUAGAAGGCUUUUCCUAAAAUGAUACCGAUUAGUGUUGGUAUGAUCCUAGAUUGAUCGUGAUAUGAAGCAUUAUAAUUAAUAUUGUUUGAAAUUGUGCUUUAUCUAGAAGAUUAUAAGGUUAUGUUUGAAUUCAGGUCACCAAACUCUAACAAAAGUUAAUAAAUUAUUUUUACAUUCUACUUCAAACUUAUUUAAUUUAUUUUAACUCUUCAAUAUAAAAAAUAAACUAAUUUUAAUUAUAUUUAAUUUUCUUCAAUAUUUUUCAUAUCAUAAGCAAACACAAAAAAAUUAUUUCACUUAACAUUUGUUUUCAUUUCUUAAUACUUAUUGGGAAUCAAACAUGUCUGAUAUUUAGGUUAAUUACACACUAGCAGUCAUUACCUAGAUUAAGAGUGCUUGAGUAUGGUGAUUUAGCAGCUAAUAACUCAAAAAUUUUGAAGGGGAUGUUGCAUUAUGAUAACCGAUGUUGUCAAUUUUUACUCUUCUUUUGAGUAAAAUUCAAAAGUAAUCAUGGAGAUUAGGGAUGACAAUAGGUGGGUUCAGGACAGGUACCCCCAUCCCAACCCAUCCUAUUUAUUCAAAAUAAUUAUCAUUCUCAUCUCAUUUAAAAAAUUAAAUAGGAUUGGACGGGAUGGGUAUGAGAAAUUCUCAUACCUGUCCCACUCCGCCCCGUUUAAAUUUUUUUUUUAAUUUUUUUAAUUUUUAAAAAAUUACUUUUAACAUUUUUAAUUGCAUUAAAAUAAACAGAUUUUAUAAAUAAUUAAAUUAUUAUACUUUUUAUAACUUAUUUUAUUAAAAAAUAUUUUAUUAUUAUCUAUAUAUUAAAAAUAGUAAAAUAAAAUUUAAUUCAAUUUAAUUAUAAAAAUUAAUUUUAUAUAUAAUUCAGGUAGGACUAAACAAGACAAUACCCGAACUCAUUCCCAAUUUUAAAAAAAUUCUUAAACUUAUUCCAAAUCAAUUUAGUUAAAAUUCAAACGAUGAGAUAGUUACCCAAAAAAAAAUCAUCCCAUUAUGAUCCCUAAUGGAGAUCCACAUCUAUCUACACAACAUUCUGCAUUCUGCAUGCCAAAGUCCAAAAGGAGCCCAAGAGGGAAAGGGUUGAAAUGAAAGCACGUGAAGGUCCAAGACACCAAUGAAAGAGAGUAAAAUAUUUGAAUUAUUUUUUAAAAAUUUGUAUUUAAUAAUUAUUUUUAUAUUACUGGGUAGAGAUAAGAUAAAAAUGUGGGACAACGUAGGGCCUUCAUUCCACAUUCCCACAACCCGCAUGGACCGCGUAUGGCUAUGGAUGUCCUCCUCCAAGAGUUACAGAGAAAGGAAUAAAAUAUUUAACUUGGAUAAUUCACAUGUUAUUUUUCGUUUAUUAUCAAGAUUUUGCUUGGAUGUGCAUGUGCCUAAAACUAUUUCGUUAAAUAAUCGGAGAAGUCUAGAAAUUUUCAUCAUCAAAUGCGUCACUUGAAGAUGUUUUCAAACCAGAGUUAAAAAACAGGGGAAUAAUAAAAUAUAAAAAAAAAUGGCUGGGGUGGCGACAGCUUGGCCAGAGACUGCACCAAUUCAAUGCACGUCCUCCCCAAAAAGGUGGCAGAAAUUGUCCAUGUAGGUAUCUAUUUCUACAGCAUUCUGUAUAAUGUACAGAGGUGUGGUGGUUUGGAUCAUCACGGAGGAAUAGAGUGAGAGAAAGGGAAAGUUGUUUACCAAGCAGAGCCAAUAAUGGAGCCUUCAGCAGAAGAGAAACAGAGCAGCAGGCUAUGCCAUGAGGAUGGUGAUGUAGAGCCCUGCUCCUACGCCAUGCAAUUGGUGACUUCGUCUGUGUUGCCCAUGGUUAUGCAGACCUCCAUUGAGCUAGGCCUUUUUGAUAUCAUUGCCAACUUGGGUCAGGCCUCUGCCUCAGAAAUAGCUUCCCGGCUGCCUACAAAGAACCAAGAGGCACCCAUCAUCCUGGAUCGUAUGCUCUACCUUCUUACCACUCACUCUGUUCUCAGUUGCUCUGCCAUUGAUGGUGAUGAGAGGGUGUACGCACUCACACCUGUCUCCAAAUACUUUGCCAGUAAUCAAGGAGUUUCCUUCGGCCCACUACUGGCUUUGAUCCAGGACAAGGUCUUCAUGGAUAGCUGGUCAGUUUGCUCCUUUUCCCUCUCUCUCGCCCUGCUGAGCAUACUUUUAACUAUUGUUCCUUUGCUAACGCCCCCACAAUUCUCAUAAUCACAACCCAUAAACCCAAUUUCCAUGGAUUUAUCUGUAAACCCAUUUGGUAUGUUGUGUUUACUGAAAAUAAAUCCUGGUCUCCAAACCAAAAAGUUCUAAUUUUGUUGGGUUUUUUCAUAUGUACCAAACAAGUGACAAUCACGUUUAGACUUUUUGCAUUUCAAACCUAAAAAGACAAGGCUUAGCAAUUUGAAAUCAACCAUUUAACUUACUCUGUUUAGACUCAUGGUGAAUUCCAAACCUAAAAGGUGGUUUCCAUUUAAUGAUACAGACCAAGACAAAGGGGAAAUAUGAAGAGACCAUGUUUUCACCUUCAGCACCUAGAAGUGAUUUUUUUAUGCCUUAUCUCAUCGUGUACUUUUUCAAAUUAGAUGUACGAAAAUAGUAAGCUGUUAGGUGUGAAUUGUGGGUUUGGGAUCGUGUUGAAGUACUAAUAUUAGUAGUGAAGAGAUGUUAGUAAAUUGAUGAUCUGAUAGAAGAACUAUGAUUUUAUGCACAUUUUGUAGAUCUCUUUGUUCAUUGCUGUGUCUUUUCCAGUUAGAUAACUUCAGCUUUCCAUUCACUUCAGGUCCCAACUGAAAAAUGCGAUUAUUGAAGGAGGAAUACCAUUUAACAGGGUCCAUGGAUCUCAUGCAUUUGAGUACCCUGGCAAGGACCCCAGAUUCAAUCAGGUUUUCAACACAGCAAUGUUCAACCACACAACGGUAAUUGUUAAUAAGAUCCUUGAGUCCUACAAGGGUUUUGAGCACCUUACGCGGGUGGUCGAUGUUGGUGGCGGUCUGGGAACCACCCUUAGCAUAAUCACAUCCAAAUACCCCCAUAUUGAGGCUAUUAAUUUUGACUUGCCUCAUGUUAUAGAACAUGCUGUGGCGUAUCCUGGUAUAACUUUUUACUUCCUGCUACCAAAUAAUUUUAUUGAAGUGUUAGUUUAGUUUGGGCUCAAGAUAAAUUCACCAAAUGGAAUAAUUCAAUUUUGUUGCAGGUGUGAAACACAUUGGAGGGGAUAUGUUUGUAAGUGUUCCCAAAGGAGAUGCCAUUUUUAUGAAGGUGAGUUUUGAGUCUUUCCAGCAUCCUAACCAGCGUAUUGGCUGCUGUAUUGACAGUUAAAAGAAAAAAGGUUUUUUAUAACCUUGUUAUGCUAUUUUGGAUCUGAUAAUUUGGUGAUGAUAAAAAAUAUGUAUGUAUGUAGUGGAUACUUCAUGAUUGGAGUGAUGAUCACUGCUUAAAGUUGUUGAAGAACUGCUACAAAGCUCUACCAGAGCAUGGGAAGGUGAUUGUUGUGGAGGGGGUUCUUCCAGAAAUACCGGAAAAGGGAUCUACCGUGAAAGCUAUCUGCCAAACAGAUUUGAUAAUGUUGACUCAAAACCCUGGAGGAAAGGAGAGGACAAGGAAGGAGUUCCUGGACUUGACAAUUGGAGCUGGAUUUGCUGGCAUCAGAUAUGAAUGCUAUGUCUCUUGUUAUUGGGUUAUGGAAAUCUUCAAGUAAACAACAUAUGGUUAAUUUUCAUGGUACUGUUUGCAAUUGUUUAGGAAACAACUUUGCAAAAGGGAAUAACUCUGUAAUGGUUCUGUUUUAUGCAAUUAGUGUUUGGAGUAUGAUCAACCAAAGUAACUUUAAUCAAUAAUGCAGAUGCUUCAGUUCGUGUAUUCAUUUCUUUUCCUUUAUUUCUUUUGUCUUCGUUUACUUCUUGUUUUGAUUCCACUGUUGUUGCAACCCUUACAUUACCAUCACUGAUCACCACCACCACCACUUUAAACAUUUCCAUGGCUGCUGCCACAGCCAAUGGUUAACACAUUUAGAUUUAUGAUUGUAGUCAUUGCAUUACAUUCCACGAACAGUACAAAUGGUGAUCAGUUUGAACCGGUCUGGCUGUACCAAAAUGAUGGGGCUCUGUUGUUAGUAUCAAUAGCUUAAAAGAAAGAGUUUUCAGAAUUUAUGCAAAAUGGGUUAUGGCUUUCCUUGGUUUUUAACAUAGAUCUCAUAUCAAUGAUUGCUUUACUUAAUGAUAGGAAAACUUUCAAUCAUAACCAUUCCACCAUGAAGGUUCCACGUGCUUUUAGAGUCGAGCAGAAAAGUGCAGCUUAGGUUAAUUUAUGAUAAUGGCAUAGCCCAAUAAGAUUAGAGUGUGACUUAGAGGACAAUGAGAAGGAGAAGAAAAGGGACAACCCCAAGUUGCAAAUAAAGAAAAUGUUGUGUAUUCUUUAUCCUUUCUUUUCAUAAGGAAAGGUUAUCUUCAGAAACCCAUAUAGGUGUGGAACACGUUGGAGGUGGCGUAGUGUAUUUCAUUUGCUUGCUUUUCUUAGUGAAAAGGUGAUUUUUCAGAAAUUUGUACCGUUGAUUUAACAUUUUUCUUCCAGGUGUGAAACACGUUGGAGGAAAUAUGUUCCAAAAGGAGAUGCCAUUCUUAUCAAGGUGAUUUCUGAAUAUUUUGGCCUUCAUAGUUCAUACUUCCCAUGGAUUGGUAGACAGUAUUCACAUUUUUUCUCCUUUCUAAAUAAUCUUGUAAUGCUCUUUGGGAUUUGAUGUGAUCAUGAAAACAUGGGGUUAUUGGCCAAGCAGUUAUCUAGUCCUAUGAGGUCUCAAAAUCGUGAGUGUUUCCAUCCUUCCCAAUUUAUUGGAGAUCAGAUAAGAGCUCACCUAGCUAGAUCUUACCUCUUCCCUUUUGAUAUGGCCUCUGGGAAAUUUAUCUCAAAUACUCACUGUUACUCCAUUUCUAUGCUUUCAAGGGGAUCUGUUUUGGAAGUUUUCUCGUGGGAAUAGAGGUGGCUAACUUGCUAUCAUUCCUUAUCCAUUCUGUUCUUUUGGUUUCAUUUGGGCUACACAAUAAGACAUUGUUUGUCCAGUUCUUUAUUGUCUUCCACUGUAGGCAGAAGUUAUUAAAAGAAAGUAUGGUUUAGUUAGAAAGGACUUUUAGAGACUCAGAAUGACUCUUAAACUGGCUAUUGUGAGAGUAAAGUCACUCCAAAUUCAGGACUAACCAUAAAAUUUUUCCUUUGCAUGCCCCAUUUCUGGUUUUCUAGGAAAGUUGGCUAACAAAAAAUCCCGUGCUUUGACAAAAGCUACUAGCCCCAAUUGAGCUACUGCUCUUUUCUAUAGCUACUCUAUCCUCAUGUGUUCAUGUCACAGACAAAAGACAUACAUGCCGAGAUCUUAUACAGUUUGAGUACCUUGCAAGUUCCUUGUUUCUAGAUACCUUUCUCUCUGCUUCACAACUCUUCUUUUCUAAUAGCUAUAGCAAGAAUUUCAGUUGAAUUGAAUGUAUUGUUAUAUAGUCUGGGUCUUAGCAGAAAAAUAAGUUGGAUGACAUGGACUAAUAUACAUUCCGGGUGAUCAAGAACUUUCAAUUAACCAAAGAAAUAUCAUUAUGGCAUUAAAUAGUGCUACAGACAGGGAAAUAAUGCAUAUAUAUUACAAGUAUCUUCAAGAAAAGCACCUUACAUGGGUUAGAACCUUACGAGAACAAAAAGAAGCAUGGUCACAUUUUCAUGCACUAAUGCUGCAGGAUAUUUGCUUCAGAAAUCAAAAGUUUGCCUCUUCUCAGCAGCAUUUCUUCUUUUCAACUUCCUUUAGCUGCUCCCUAUUAUUUCCUUGUAUGUGUCCUUGAUUUUUUGUAUCAAAGCUUCCCUGGCAUUUCAUUAACCAUUUGCAGUAAGGAGUAAAUCACUGAAUGAAUCAGAUGUAAAGGUUUUGUUUUUGAUUUUGAUAGAGAAUUGAUACAUACCUGUCUGGUUUGAAAAUCAGGUUCUUGUAUGCAAACCACUGCAAGAAAUGGGAAGAUAAAGAGGAUGCAUAAAAAACUAGGAAGAAAACAUAACCCACAUUCACUGGGGUUUCUUUCAUGGACAUUAUUGAUCAGAUAAUUUAGGUCUGUUGGAAUGGAGGAUGAUUAGAUGGGUAAACAGGCAUUGCAAACAUGAUUUUUUUUUUCUUCUAAAUUUAUACAAAGUCCAAGAGUAACCAAACCAGAAUCCACACUGAAAAUGGCUAAAAUGUGGGGUUGAAAAACCAAAGGGUCUGAUGUUUAAGGUCAAUCAUGAAUGAACCUCAAAAUGCUAAUAAGGACUUACAUUGAUCGAACCGACAGUGUCUACAAAUUGUACAUGGAUACAUACAGCAAACUAUAAUCAACUUACCCCAGAGUAGCCAAUGCCUACAAUCUCAAGCACACCAGGAACCAAAGGAAGCUUAUCAAUGGCCUGUUACAAAAGACAUCCGGUCAUCUCUCAGAAACCUACUCACUAAUUGAAUUAUCACUAAGAAGUUAAACUGCAAGCAAAUCUAGGGCCAUAAUUGGAAUCAUGGUCGAUUGAUUCUCACCGAGACCAUCCCUGUGGAGACCCACAAUCCAACAAAACCAGCUGCUGCAAGGGAGCUCACUGCAUACUUAUCUUCAACUUUGUCCCACUUCACAUUCAAGAAACAAUCUUGUCAAAAAAAGAGAGAAUACACUAGCAGCUUCAACAGCAAGAGAAGACAAUGCAUUUUUAUGAGACAAAAGUAAAAUUCUUACAGCCUCUUGAACUGUUUUGAUAAUCUCCGGCACCUCAGUUGUACCAACCUCUGCAGGAGCUUCCCCAGUGGCCAUGGCGAUGACAUUGCGAGCGAUCUUACGACCUGGAAAACACCAAGAUCAAUGGCUACAACAAACAUAUAUGCAUACCCAAAAUGUCUAAAUCACUAUCUGUAUGAGUUGUACUCACAGUAAGUGGUGCCUUUCCCAGGCCGGUGCUGAGAUGGCACAGGGGGAGGAGGGAGUGUAGGGAGAGUAACGCAUUGGGACGAUGCGGCGGCAGAUUGGCGAGGAGCCUUGCCAUCAAUGAGGGUAGAUGAGGAGGAGAUGGAAAGUGGGGUGGUGGUUGAGGCCAUGGCUUCUGAAAAAAAUCCUUCAGGCUAGGUGAGAGAUAUCUCAGGCCACUGGGGAAUUGGAUCGAUCCUUUUUUGUUUUUGUUUUUGUUUUUGUUUUUCUGGUUUUACAUGGAGUGGAGGAGAUAGAUAAUUUUCAUUAGGUAUGUAGAGAUGCUUCUUCUCCCAAGUUUGGAGGUGGAGAACCACUCAUUUCAUUCAUCAAGAUAGUGCUGACAUGGCUGUUGGAUAGGCAUUUGAUGGUAUUUCAUUGGAUAGGAUACACCUCUGUUGUGCCCAAAUAUGUGCCUUGUUCAUGUUAUCUUAUUUGAAGUGCUGAGGGCCAGCUAUAAAAUCCCCUUCAUCAAUGCAAUAUUGACAUGGGCAAAUCACAAAUAUCCGGGUCAUGUAUGGUGGUCAGGAAAUCCAAUUCCUAAGUGUUUGAGAUGAAUGAGUGGCUGUAGAUGGAAGAAGUGAUCCCACAGGCACAGCUUGACCAUGGAUAAGGCAUAGCUGAAAUGGAAAUGUUAAUAUGGAUAAAAGAGGACAAAUUCCCUGAAAUAGAAAAAUGAAUGGAAGAGAAGAAUGAUUCAAAUUUGAUGAAAAUAAUAAAAAUUGCAGUUUCCCUGUAUACUCUCAUCUCUGUAGUGGUGGUACCCUUGUAGGGCCUUGAACAGGUUGAUGGUCCUGGCCUCCCUUUUGAGGCUAGGUUUAUUAGUGUGGACUUGGACCUAUCUCUGAGGAGAAGCCCCUGUGAAACAGAGUGGGCUCAGGCCUAACAGUAAAGAACUAACAACAAUAAAGUAACAGUCACAUCCUCACACCCAAGUCCUAGUUCAUCAUUCAGAGGGUCACUCAAGGAGCUUCAUGUACUCCAGUGCUUGAGACUGUACCGCCACCAAUAGCCUUGGUCAUUCAAUCUUUGGGAGUAAAGCACCGGCGGAUGGCAAUGGGCGGGUUUUUUAGGGUACCCGUCUUGUCCCGUCCCUAAUAGGACGGGGUUCAAUUUUAAUAAAUAGAUUUAAGAUGGGUUUGAGAAUUUUUUUUGAAACCCGGGACGAGUUCGGGUAUUGCCACAUCCUGUCCUGCCCCAAUUAUAAAUAAAAUUAAUUUAAUUUAAUUUUUAUUUUACUAUUUUUAAUAUAUAGAUAAUAAUAAAAUAUUUUUAAUAAAAUAAGUUAUAAAAAAUAUAAUAAUUUAAUUAUUUAUAAAAUAUAUUUAUUUUAAUGUAAUUAAAAAUUUUAAAAGUAAUUUUUUAAAUAAAAUUUAAAAAAAAAGUUAAAUGGGACGGAACGGGUAUGAUAUAAGAAUUUAUCAUACCCGUCCCGUUCCAUUUAAUUUUUUAAAUGGGACGCGGAUGAGAAUUUUUUAACGGGAUAGGGUUAGAAUGGGGCAACCCGUCCCGAAUCCGCCCCGUUGUCAUCCCUAAAAGCACCAUCAUCUUGUUGCAGUGAGAGUAUGUUCUUUAAUCCAAAUGCAUCUUAAUUUAACUUAAGUUUAAAUACUACUUAAUAGCGGUCGGUGGUUAAGUUCUUAGAAUGGUUUGUUUUUUAGCAAAUGCCUAUUUAUGAUCUUCAAGCAAUAACAACACAUCAACUAGACAUAUGCCUUCGUGAAAUAAGACACCCACGAAAGACUUGUUUGCUCUUUUUGAGGAGGGACAAGAGAUAAAAAUUAGAACAUCUUUUUAUUCAGCAUAGGAACAAAAGAAGGUAACAACUCCAACUUUGUCUCAACUGCCGAAGAAGACAUGCACCAUAAGCCCAUGAAAACAAAAUUAGGUCUAAUCACUUGAUGAUGUACAAGGGAAUAUGUUCUAACUACUAUACUCGAACUACAGGGGGAAUAUUUUCUAACUGCUAUUCUCAGACUACAGGGGAAUAUGUUCUAACUAUUAUACUCUACCUAUGGGGGAUGGAUUUUUGGUCCUUUAAUACCCCCUUUUUUUUUUAUGCAUUUAUUAGAGAGCAAUAAAGUGGGAAUAUUAAAGACUAUUUUGCCUCUUGCCUUUUUGUAGCAACAAUUUUUCAAUGAACUCUUCCUCUAGAGCUUUUAUUCCACAAUCUUACUAACAAGUGUAGCAAAUUUUGAAGUGUUUGACAAAAUUUAAUACUUAUUAUUUAACGAUUUUAAUUAAUUUUAAGUUAAAUUAUAUUUAAGUUGAUGACUUAAAAUUUAUUACUUAAUUCUUAUUUUAAGUAUUAAGGUUGUUUGAUAAAAUUAACUUAAAACUUAAUUUAAAUUAUUAAAUUAAUAUAUCUAUUUUCAUAAGUUAUAAUUAAAAUAAAGAAAGUUGAGUAAUAAUAAAGAUUGUGAAAUAACAAAAAAAUCAUAAAAAUAAUUGAGACAAAUGAAAAGUAAAAAAGUAAAAUGAAGAAUAAAUUAAUUAUUUUUAUUUAUUACUUAAAAUCGGUUUUAACUUUAAUUCAUAUCAUUAAAUUAUUUUAUCAAAUAUACUUAAUUACUUAAAUUAAAUAAUUAAAUUACUUUAAGAAACACUCACUUUCUCUGUCAAACUUUACUUUAUAAGCAAAGACAAUGUGGGUACUCUUAUGGAUUUCCCUUCUUUGGUCAAUUUAGCACUCAAGUUGUAAAGAAAAAGGAUGGAAAAUGUUAUGAGUAAUAGAUUUCUUCCUUCUACGUUACCUAUAUAUAGUAAAAAAUCAUCAUCCUAGGAGCCAUUGAUACGUGGCUUCUUUCUUGGAGGAAAAACCCGUUUACAGAUGUCUAUCCAUGUCUCCCACAUGAUGAAAGGACCUUAACUAUACACACGGCUUUGUGAAAAAGAGGCAUCUAUGAGAGGUAUUCAUUCUUCUUGAGAACAGACAAACGAUGAAAACACCUUAAUUAACCUUACACACACCUUUGUGAAAAGAGGCACCUAUGAAACGGAUUGUUUUCUUUUGCCUCAAUUUUUUUAAUACCAAGUUACCAACAUAGUGAUCACCGUUUGAUUUACGACAUGAUAGGAAAAAUGUAGAACUUGUUGAAUUGCAUGGUGGAAAACAGAAGACAAGAGGGGGGCAAGGGAGAUAAGAGAGGGUACGAGAGAGAAGUCAUUCAGGAUCCAAAUUCCAAUAAGAACCCAUGUCUCUUAGCGCCAGACGAAUCAGAAUCAGAACACAACAAAAGUAGGAUAGAUUGAUGACACGUUCUCACAUUAUUAGCCUUUUGUCUUCAUGGCUCAACCUCUCAUUGUGUUUUGUUUUUUUAUAUUUUUGGUUGGGGUGUGUCAUCCCAAAAUCAUCUCAUUAUGCUUUUCACUUUCCUACCCCCCCCCAACACAUUCCAUCACUUGGUAAAAGCUGUCCUAGAAUCCCAUUCUUGUUUGCAUUGCGCUCAACUCAACAACCCCAUCAAGCCACACCCCUCCCCUCCCCUUUCAAACAUAGCUUUCAACAUAACCCAAUUGCUCAAAACACCUACUUAUGCCAUGAAGCUUCUUACCCGGAAUGGGUGCCAAGGAGAAGAAAAGAGUUGUGGUGGUGGUGUAGGUGAUCAGGUGGAAAUGGGGUGUAUAGUGUCUGGGUGUCUCUUCUUUCGAGAUGAUGGUGGUGGGUUGGGGCCCACAUAAUGAAAUGUCCUUUGCAGUUUUCCAAAAACACAGAGUCUCCGAGGUGAUUUCUGCUGUUUCUCUCUCUCUCUCUCUCUCUCUCUCUCUCUGGACGCCUACGAUCGGAAUCUCUGACCCACCACCACGACUACCACCACCAGGGCGUACUUGUCAGCAUUCCGGACAAAAAGCCGGUUGUCCAGAAAAACCCUGACUCCAUUGCAAAUUGAAUGGCUUAAUUCAUUGCUCUGAGAUGAACACACACUUCCAAAAUGCCAUGCAUUUUAAAAACAUUUCAUAGGAGGCAAACCUUGCAAAGAAAAAAAAACCCAGUUGAGAAGGAAUCAGAUUGAGACAGAGGUUCUCUUUGGGACUUGAAGUCUAACCUUGGUGUAGAACAUAUCCAUUCCGGCCUACUACCCCUUUGGAAUUUGAAGAAUGACUUUGCCAUUUUAAUACUAUUAGUUGAUCGCAUAAAUCAUAUGCCAAUCCAACAUCUUUUCAAUACUGAUUAAUAACCAAAGAGUAAGUACGUAUGGAAAUGCGAGAGUGAUUGGUAUGGUAGAUAUGGUGGCACACCUUUCUAAAUAAAACAGUCACUUAUUCCAAAAUCUGAGAUGGGUAUCACGGUUACCGGCGCCUUGGGGUUUGGCUCUCCAAGGAGGAGUAGGUCAAGAAAGCAUCUCUACUUCUCUAGCCUCAACAUCCCCUAAAAGUGAAUAAUCCCUUUUAUCUUAUAAGCAGCCCAAGUCAAUCUGAAGGGAUUGGGCUCCAUGAAAGUAAAGAAACUUGGCAAGAAAAAGGUUUUUGAGUUUGCCCUAAAAUCAUCUUUAUAGGCUGAUACUAUGACAUGGACAUUACACAACUAAUAGAACAAUGAUGGUCUUUUUUUUUUUUCCUUUUUUGAAAUAAGCCAAGGGGACCAGUACUGUAUUGGCUGGAAAGAUAGAGAGUGAGGAUAAUUAGUUUGUUUGUAUAUAGGAUCAUGCUCCAAAAGUUUUAAGACAAUAAUACAGAUGAAUGAAAGGCUUUUUUCCAUUUAAAUUAUUGAAUUGGGAAGGGUGUGCCCAAGGAGUGGAGUAAAGUUGAUCUGGGGCAAUCCUAAAAGGCUGUUGGGAAAAACACAAAGAAAGAGGAAAAACGGAAUAGGAUUAGAGAUUGGAGAUUAGACUUGGUUGAUAUAACUUAUAAGCACAUGGGGAUGGGUGCUGCAGUCUCAGCCCUGAGGCUGGGACUGGUGGGUUGCAGAGGUGGUGGGGUUUCCAUCUCUUUCUCCCUCUGACGCUUUAUGACAUUUGUUCAGGCCUUAAAGUUGAACACCUCGAUCCCACUCCCCCACCCUCCCCCUCUCCCUCCCUGACCCUCUUCCUAUGGGCCUUUGACUUGUGGAUUCUGUCAAACACCUGCCCAUGCACAGUCCUUCUACGGUACUACCACAUCACACCUUUCCUUCCGAAGCUUUUAUCAAUAAUAUUUAAAACACCAACCAUGGGGGAUUGUGGGGUGAGCAAUGGCUGUCACAGCCCCAUGUCUACUUUGCCCUGAAAAAUUGAUUGAUGUGGGCUCACCAUGGUGAGGUUCUGUCAAGAAGAAGGUACCAUAGUUGGCUGUGACACUAGCUGGCUGACCCUUUCUAGUACUUGCAAGUCUUGAACAAACAACACCUCUCCAAGGAGUCUCAUGGCAGCCCUGUUGAUGACGGUAAAAUUGAGGAGGAACAGUGGGCAACCAGAGAGUACCUGGCUGCUACCUGAUGAUGUGUCAACAAUGGAACCCAUCGCAAUUCAGCUCCCCCUCAGCUCUCCGCAUUUGACAAAUGUGGUCAAAAUUUUCAAAAUCAUGGACUGGAGACUAGGGACUGAGGACUGGGGACUGGGGCUUGUCACUGAUCAGUCUUUUGUGUAGCUUGCCUCAAAUUCUCUACAGUGCCAUGCAUACCCACUUCCACAGGCCACGUCCUGAUUUUAAGGCACUUGACUCCUGUCCGUUGGACCCAUUAGAAAUUUAAUCUGAUUUCAGGUUGGACCCCAUUACAAAAGAAAUCCCUUUUCUUGCUACCACUUGAACAUUUGCAGAAAAUUUAUUUGGGAAGAAGUCGAAUAUGAGAUGGAAGUUUGGUGUACUUAAAAAGAUGAUGUUGUUUGGUACAUGGGUGGUUCCCUUGGGCCUGAAAGUGAAACCUCAAUGGAGUGUGGAUGGCCCACUUUGGUUGCAGAGAAAAGAAGGAAGGCGAGAGGACAUAGAAUGUGAUACAGCAAACCUCUAAAGAACUGAGGACAGCCCAAAGUCAAUUUAAAAAGCGAAGCAUCAUUCCUGAGUAAUGAUGAGAUUAGAAGAAAACUCAAACAAGUGGACCCCCAGCUGCACCAACAGCCCAUCCCCAAAAGUUAAAAGAAAAACAAUGUCCAAAGAGUAAAAAAAGAAAAAGAAAAUAUUAGUUGUGAGUUAAGCAGUAGACAUCAUCUGCAUUCUGGACUGCUUAUCACAACUACAAGGCAUGGAUGCAGACAAUAGUAGGGAGUGCGCACUCUUCCCCAUCCUCUCAUUUUUUUCUCUUCACUCUCCAAAAAAAUAUAUAUUUAAUAUGUGCUGCUUGCUGAGCUUGCCCACCCCUUGAAUCUUUGACCCAUCAGCUGCUGCCAUUGAUGAAGCUGAAUACUUGAUGGACUGCUGCUGCUACCUCAUCUGCUGAACCUAGCUUGCAGUCGUCUUCUAUCUGCAUUUCCACAGCGAAAAAACACGAAAUAAAUCAAAACAAAAAAGAUUGAAAAGAAUUCACUUCUGGGUUGCUUGAAUUCCUCGCCGAAAACCAAAGGAAAAUCAUGGUAGUCAUGGUUUACUCACCUUGAGAUUGAAGGAGUAAAGGACUGUGCUUUGUAAUGAGGUGAUGUUGAGGUGCAACACUGUUAGACUGAGAUCUUCAAGGGCUACAAUGGCCUUAAGCAACUGGCCGGGCCUUCUUGGGCACUGAAUUUUCAAAUUCACAUGCGUUUGAAUGACGGUGACUUCUAUGUCCGCCGCUGCAGACUUGUUGUCCGCUGUGAAUGUGAAUUCGUCGCUCCUUCCUCCCUCGGCAGAAUUGCUUUCGUCUGGAGCAAAUCUGUGUUGGGUGCAUAACCCUUUGGACGCAAUUUUUGGGGAGGAUGAGGAGGAGUUUGUGGAGGCGUCACCGCCUUCUUCACUUCUCCUCAUUCUUUUUUGGGCUUGUAGGGAUUCAAGCAGUUGUUCAAGCUCUUUCACAAAGUCGAUUGCACCCCCAAUAAUGGACGCUUGGUCACCCUUUAAUGGCAAAAACAAAAUAUAAAUUCCAAACCUUUCAAACGAAAAGAUUGAAAAUUUCAUUGAUUGAAAUGGAACAGAUGCUCAAUCCAACUCAAAGAGGAUACCAAAUAUUUGGAGAAUUACCCUUUGAAUGUAGGAGGUCGGCAUGAGGGAGCGGAGGGCGUUGAGAUGGUCGUUCAUUUGGCGUCUCCGGUUGCGUUCGACGGCAAUGUGGGUCAUACGCUGGCUCUCCACCUCUUCCUUGUUCUUCGUCGGCCGCGUUCUCUUUCGCUUUCUUCUUUCCCGGGUGAUGGGUGGGGAUUUGGACAAGUGGGCCUGUUUUUGCCUGGUUUGUGGCUGAACCCACGCCGGGGAAGAGCCUGAAUUUGUGUCUAAGCAACCAUUCUCUGCUGAGUUGGGUUGGUCCUGGUUGCACUCGGAGCUUGUACCCUCGAGACAUGGAGUUGAAUGCUGGUGAUGUUGAGGCUCCUUGGUCUCGGAUUUGACUGGAGAAUGCAUCUCCAAUAUGUCGUGGGUGAUGCAGCUUUCAAGCUCCCGUGCCUGAAUCCGAGAGUCCAACUCAGUCAAGUGGGUCAUCCCCCAAGGCUUCUUUUGGUGCUGUAAUCUCAAAAGUGCCUGAAAGUUUGGUUCUGUAAAGGGUGAAAAUGGUGGAGAUUCCACGCUUUGUAACAUCUGAAGAAACGGCAUUCUGUCCUCUAAACUAGGAGUUGAAAAAAGUGCUUGUUCUUCCUCAGAUCUCUGGCUCUCUGUGCUGAGCAAUGGCCCGUAACCCAACUCCAAACUACUUCCGUGUUCCAAACCCUCCACAUCCAAAUGCUCCCCAAAGAACUGCAACAAAAUUGAAGAGAAACCCAGAGAGAAAACAUGUGAAAAAAGAGAGAAAAUAAGGAAAAAUCUGAAUUCACAGCAGUCUUUAUCCCUUAAAUCCGAUAAAAGAAACAAGAAACAGAAAAUCACUGUCAUGGGUUGGGUAGGUGGUUUGGAUGCAACGGGGAGAAAAAGAAAAGAGAAAAAAGGAAUAAAAAUAGAAUAAGAAUAGAAUGUUGAGAAAAAAGGAGCAGAGCAGAAGUUGGUGUUUCCAGAAAAAUAACACAAAGCAUUGAAUGCAAGCAUUGUGGGAAGUAAAUGCACUCCAUUUUGUUGAAUCUAGAGAAGGGAUUGAAGAGAAAAAGCGUAAGAGGAGAGGGAAUGGAGAGGAGAGUACGAAUUUGAAACUAACAUACACAGGGAUUCAUGGGUCCUUGAAGCCUCUCCAUCAAAGCUGAGCAGUUGGAGAAGUGGGUACAAAUAGCAGUGAAAUUAAUUCCCUACUUGCUCGUCCCUCUCACCAAUGCCUUAAAUUCUCUGGGUGUGUCUCUCACUCCCGGUUACGGGUUACCAACAUUCCUCCAUUGUGAUACCAACAAAACAAACAGUAAUAAAUGAAGGAAACCACAGUGAUGCAUAACGAGACCCCAUCUACACAGCCUGCAACAUAUUCCUUUCUUUCUGGUUCUAGGGAUACUCUUAAAUAGAAAACAUUAAUUACUUCGAAAUACUCAAGGAGAGAGGGCAAUGGGGUUAGGACGGAUUAACAAUGGUGAAGAAAAUGGAAAAUAAAAUAGGAUGUGGUGAGAAACGAAGGGUGGAAAAUACCCAACUAAGUUAGAAGAUAUAACAGAUGUAUUUCGGGAGUGCUGAGAGAGUUGGUGGGAGAGGAACAGCGAGAGAGAGAGAGAGAGAAGAGGAGGUUGUCUGGUUUCCAAGGUCCCAAGCAUUAUUGGCGUGACAGAUUUGUCCACCAGCGGGGACAGACAGUUGUGGGGACUCCCCCCCCCCCCCCCAAAUCCUAUACCAAGAUUAGCUUUGGAAAGUCCUUGUAUGGAUUGUGUCACUCCUCCACUCUCCGUCUCCCACCAUUGCUCAUCACUCCUAACACCCUCAUUUUCCACCCAAUUGGCACUAAAUUUGAUAUCAAAACCAUGUUAUAUCACACAUAAAAACAUUCAACACAAAGAGACCCUAUCAUCUCAUUCUAUGCUUAAAAACUUGGAAUGAAGCUUUAGAACCUUUGUCUUUAUCUGUAUUUGACAUUCCCAUAGUGUACAAUUCCUGCAUUUAAUGUACCCAUGGGAUCUCCUUCAACUGUCGGGAGCUGUGUGGUGGUGGUACUGCUGCAUUUCUCAAUGACUUAUCUUUUAUUUUUGGGGCCCCUGGGGAAAAUUUUAAUACUCGAUGGAGUUUUGAUUAUUUGAAAUCAUUGAGACCUUCUAUGAACACUUUUGGAGGAUAUUCCAAGACAAUGAUACCCCUUUCUAAUGGAAUCUUCAAUUACUUUCUAACCCUUUUACUUGACUAUAAUACUUUUUUUAUUUCAUUGUUUUGGGGAAUGUAGAGCUGUCAUUUGUUGACUUCAAUGUUCAGUAUGAAGGUGUUUGAUAAAUUGUAAGUGUGCAAUCCUCAGCUGAGAACUGUUGCUUAUCCUAUUCUGCACACUGGGUAGUGUAGUGGGUAUCCCAGUAGCCCUGCAAGAAGAGGCCUUUUAACCAAAAUAAAGCCACGGGAAAGCUUUUCUGGCUUCUCCUCAUGGUCCAUGGAGGAAGGCUUAUUGUACUGUCUAUCAUAGCGCCAGAGAGGCGAAUAAUUUUGUGUAAAGACUGCCUUCCUGCCAAUGCAAUAGCCCAACUAAAGACACAACCUGUAGGCUUCACAAGAUGGGGUGGAAAUGGUGUGAAAUUAUUUUGAUUAUCAAGGCUCAAUCAAGCUAAUUGAAUCUCAAAUUCUGAGAGGCACAACCCUUUUUUUCCCCUUGGUGUUGCUAUCAGGCCAUCGUCGAUGCCACCUGAACCAUAACCAUAGGCGUGUCUUAUAAGGCGACCCCUCCAUGGUAACCAUCUCAGCAUGUGGUGCUCCCUUCCUUUCUACAUCAUGGACAGCGUUUGAGUCAUUGGUCAUCCGCCCAUUUUAAUAAUUGAAGAUGGCAAAGGUGUUGCUAUUUGUAUGUAUAUGUGUGUGUUCACACAAGGAAAUCAGAAAGAGACACAUGGGAGACACAUAUUUCACCCUACAGACAAGGUCAUUCCAGUUCAAACCCUCUGCUCGAAGACACCAAUCUCAUUUGAUAAGUUUUUUAAGAAUCUUAUCCGUUCAAACUGUGGCCUCAAUUUCCCAUCUUUUAAAACUACCACACAACCAGAGCCGUUCUCUAAAACUGCAACGCAUACAUCCUAGCAAAAUAGCAUUAAAACUCUUUAGUUUUAGGAGAUCAGCAAGUUUGCAGUCCAUUUAACUCAUGUGGACACCAUUAAGAAAAGCCCUGAAAAGCUCUAGCAUUGCAGGACCAAAGGCCAGGAACCUUAUCCCCAUCUCACAAGGAGCAGCUUCUCUUAAGCUGGCCCCUCUCCAGCUUCCUCUGGUCAUCAACAUAGUGCCACGUCAAGGGUGAAGUUUUCAUUCAUGGGAAAAAAACGUAAAACAGUACUAGAGUAUUCACAUGUUUUUGCUUAUUGGGUUAGAUUGUGACUGCCCAACCCACCAUUCCACCACCGUAUGCACAGUUGCUGUUAGUCAGCAGCAACCAAAGGGAUGUUUGCCCAGCGAGGAGCCGAAAACCAUCUCAUGCGCGUUUUGGAGGCUCAAUGCUAGGCCCCCUCUCAGCAUAAUGAUGGCUGUAGUUAAAGCCAUUAUAACUUUCACACCAUGACAAUGGCUUCUCCCUAUAAAAAGAAUGAUGCAGACAAUCAUGUAUGGUAACUUGGAUGAAAUGAAGCAAAGGAAAAAUUCUAAGAAACUGAAGAUUCCAUUGAGAUUGUACCAAUACAGAACCUGGAAACAAGGAUGCCAUGGGAGGAAGGAGGAUUACAUAUAAGUUGUAAGCCUGGAAGCUACGAAAUUGGCGCCAAUAUCGGCCAAUCUGCCUCACAAUAUCAAUUUUAAUAUUCAAAAUUGGCGCAUGGAAACAGUUUGUGCAAUUAAGAAAAAGAAAAAGAUAGUUCUAGGAGUAGGAGCAAAGCUCCCCAGAUACAAACCAAGGAUACUUCCUAUUGCCCUUUUGUUCUGAGGACUUCAUUCACGCUCUAUCUGUAUAGUUACAUGACUGAUGUUAUACUCCCUUCUAAUAUAAUUUAUUACAUUGUCCAGCACCAUGUCUGUAUUUGCUUCGGGCCUGACUUUGACAUGGCAAGCCAACAGGACCUUUCCCACCGUGAUGGCCCAUAUAUGCAGCUCAUGAACGGCCACCACUUCAUCCAUCUCACACAACCCCUUCUCAAGCAUUGUUGCAUCAAUCUCUCUUGGUGUGCUCUCCAUCAAGACUUCGAGUAUGCUCCGCAGCAUUUUGAUUGUUGUUCCCAAAACGAUAACAGAAAAGAUAAGAGUGCAGAUUAAGUCAACUAUCUUCCAAUCAGGUUUAAUCCAUAUGAUUGCCCCUCCAAUCAUUACCCCGAUGCUCUGAAUGGAGUCCCCAAGAACAUGGAGAUAAGCUCCCUGUACAUUGAUGUUCCUCCCCCUCUUCUCUUCAUUCUUGCAUUCUGGUUGAUUUCCUUCUUGCGAAGAAUUCUUCAGCAGCGGCUCAGAAGGAUCCUCAUGAGUAUGAUGGUGCUCAUCAUCUUUUGAGUGAUGCUCAUCAUCUUUUGAGUGAUGCUCAUGAUGAUGAUGAUGGUGUGUGGUAAUCUUCAUUCCAUGGCUGUGUCCAUGACCAUGAUCAUGAUCAUUAUGGCUAUGGCCAUGAUCAUGACCAUGCCCACCAUGAGCAUGGUCAUGACCCAACAAGAAAGCCAUCAUGAUAUUCACAACCAGACCAAAAGUAGCAACAAGAAACAUUAGAAAGCCAUUGACCUCACCUGUGUCAUGAAUGAGUCUAACAAUGGCUUCAUAAACCAAAAUUCCUGCAAGUAGCCAUAUCAUCUGGAUGGAAACUAGGGCACCAAGAAUCUCGACCCUAAAAAAUCCAUAAGACUGACGAGGAGUGGCUUCCCAUCCUGUUGCCCAGAGUGAAAACAAGGAGAUAGCAAAAGCUGCAACAUCUGAAAGCAAAUGUGCUGCAUCAGUUAAUAUAGCAAGACUGUUGGCCUUGAUGCCACCAGCAACUUCAACACUCAUGAAGACAGCACAUAGUAUAACCGCAAUUAAAAGCUUGCGCAUGGAAGCUGAUCGCUCUUUGGCAUCCUUGGAGCUUGAUCCAGAAUCUGAGAACCCACAGGGCGCUUCCCCACAAAUUUUGCUUGCUCCCGUGCUCCUUCCUCCAGCAGGAACAUCAACACUUAUCUCUAUAAUCUGUGAAUGUUGCAGAUUUUGCGCUUCCAUCUGGUGGUAACAGGAACAACACAAAACAACAAUCAUAAUUGCACUCUUAAGGGUAAAUCUAUGCAUACUACAAUGUAAAAAAUAAUUGUGUCAUUGAUAAGAAACAAUGCAUAUUACAAUUAUGAUAUCAAAUAUUGGCAUGUUAUGAUAGGAUCAAAGUUCUAAGAAGGGGAAGUCAUGCCACACCUCUCCUAAGGAGGCCCAACUGCAUAGACACCUUAACUACACUGAACAAGACGCCAGCAGUAGAUGAGUGGAUGCCACUUAAAUAAACGAUAAAGAACAAUUACAGACAAAAACAUUAGGCAAUUGAACUGAUUACAGAAUCCGGAUAUGCCUUUUCCAUCAUACCCAGUCAACCCAAUUAGGUAAACCACACAACUGUCUCUUCAAGUAAUGAAGAACAGCAAUGGGCAUAUCAGGGUUUGUAGCUGCCCCAUCUCAAAAGUUUGACUCCAUGAAUGAAUUUGUCAAACCGUGUGAAGAAUAUAUUACAGUAAAGACACCAAAACCCAAAUCCCUAACUUGAACACCACAUUGCUCCCAAUUCUAAAAAAUCAUAAUAUUCAAUUUUCAAAUCCAAACAAAUCGAACUCCAUCCAUCAAACACUCAAUAAUAAUUCCAUCAUUAGCAAAGAAAUAGAUUUAAAUGAUGAACAGACCAUGAUUCCUGAAAUGAAAUGGGGACAAGAGAAAAAACAACUCUACCUAAAAUAGAGAAAUGUACUUACCUGGGUUUCUGGGUUUCUGCCUAAUUUCCAGAUAAACCAAAUUCAAAACCCUAUCAAAAUCAUCCUAAAACUACCAUAUCCACCAGCCCAUGUUAGAAUAUUCGCAUAUAGUUGAUUCCAUAGAUCCCCAAACAAAAAAAAAAACAAAAGCAAAGUGCUAAAAGGCAUGGUAAGCAUACGAGGAGAUCAAAUGAUAAAAGGGGGUUGAAGGGACUUGCAGUUUAAUAUUAGCGUGAGGCUACCUCUGAGGUUAUGGUCAUCUUGCUCCAACUUCAAUGGAGGAUUCAGAAGUGGGCAUGAAUGAUUGCAGUUGGGUGGGGCUUUUAGAUUUGGAACUUGGGUUGGACGAGUCAACCAGGGAAUUGAACAGGAUUGAUGAGGAUAAGAAAGUAAAUUGAUUCCAUGCUGAUGUAGACUAUACUAAAGCCUGGAGCUCAUGAGAGGGAAAGAGAUUAUUGAUUAAAGAAGUGUCAAAAACAAUUGAUAAAAGGGACAGGCACUUGGAAAAAUCCAACUACAAAUUGUCAGAUCCGGCUGCCCACUUCGCUGUUUCUAUAAUUGGCUAUUGUGCAGUGACGAAUCUGUCCAUGCUCAUUCCAUGCGGCACAACCACUCUCUAUUUCAUGUUUUCAAAAGUAAUUGAUAGAAGACAACAAAAGCUCAUCGUCAUCGAUGAUUUUAGCCAUUUAUUUAGAGGGUUCAAGGCAAUCUAUUUGAGCUCAUUGACGUCUCUUGUGAUUUGGAUUGUAUGCAUUUAAUCAAGCAUCUCAAUUGGGUCAAAAAAUUUAAGGGGAAAGUUGACUAUUGUAUUGAAAAUUUUGCUGUAUAUUAUGUUCUGUCACCAUUACUUGCAAACAUGGUAGCGGUUUUGUCUUCCAUGGGCCCUAUUCAAAUCCCUUGCCUCUUGCUUAGCCAAGGCUUCUACCUAAUUAAAUCCAUGAGAGGAAUACUCUGGUCCAAUUAUUGGUAGAUUAGUUAAAUCAAUUUAGAAGUGUCAAGCUUUCUAGAAGUGGGAGUAGGAUAUAACUUUUAUCGGGUUGGAUCGGGUCGACGAUCAACUCAAUUUUAACACAAAUUAAGAAAUAAUUAGUUUAAAGUCAAUCCAAUUUAACUUCUAAUUUAAGAUAAUCAAAACUUAAUUUGAUACUUUUUAAUUUUUUUUCUAUAUAUUUAUACCAUAAUUUAAAUGAUAAAUGAAAUAGAAAUUUCAAAAUAAUAAUAAAAUUUGAUAUUUAAAAAAAAAUUAAAGAUGAAUAUUGUUAUGUAAGAUAAGAUCAACAUAAAUAUUACAAAAAUAUUAAAUCACAUGAUAUUAACAUGGAUUGUCGAAACCUCUCUAAGCCCAACCUAAAUUAAUUUUAAGUUAGAAAAAAUUUAAUCCCAAAUCUUAACUUCGAUUGUUUAAACCUUAUCUAAGCCUAACUCUAAGUUGAUUUUAAAUUGAAAAAAUUCAAUCCAAAGCCGUUACAACCUUUGCAGCCCUAUCCAAAAAUGGGGUCGACGACAUUGAUGCCCAUUCCAAAUGCACGAAGCAUGGUUACCUUCCCAGGGAACUUCCAUGUGAAGGCAGUAUUGCCUUCAGGCACGUAGAAUCCAACCCAUUUUUCA